rnacentral:RNase_P_RNA from 1 species
UGAGACGGAUGUGUGAUCGCUAUAGAAAUUUCUAUAGAGGAAAGUCCGAGCACCUCAUUGGUCAGGAUGCCUGUUAACUACAGGACGGGGUGACCCGAUGGAUAAGUGCAACAGAAAAAAUACCGCCAGAAAUUUGGUAAGGGUGAAAUGGUGUGGUAAGAGCACACCGUAAAGCUGGUAACAGUUUUAGCUAUGUAAACCCCAUCCGGUGCAAGGUCAAAUAGAGAAGCAAUACUAGACCAUGGGUAGCUUCUGGGUUGACUGCUUGAGCAUAUUGGUGACUUUAUGCCUAGAUGGAUGAUCGCAAACUCAAAUAAUUGAGUAACAGAACUCGGCUUAUAAUCCGUCUCAUAUA